CCCAUACAAAUUUGAUUGCAUAUGAGAAAUGCAGUAUAGCUAGGGAAUGACCCCUAGGUCGUCUCCCAAAGACCAAUUUUGCGGUUUGAGAAUCGAGUCUAACACGAAGGGGGGGGGGGUUGAAAGGUUUUUGCAGAAAUUAAAGAACUCAAUAAAGACAUGGAUGCAAACAAACUAAUUUAAGCUGGCAUGGGAAUUAAACUAACACUAUUAAAAACCUUAGACAACAUUCAAACAUCAAAUACUCUUGCAAACAAAUUAACAAACACAGUCAAAAAUAAUUAAUUAAACUCCACACUAAUUGAAACACAUUAAACUCAACCUAUUAAUUAAAUUAAUUAAAAACCAAAGAAAUCAACAAACCUAAUUUAAUCCUAGCAAUUUAUGUGAACCAAGGUGCAACAGAUAAAGAAAUUGAAAAUGAAAAUGGCCUAAGAAGACCUCUUGUACGUGACCUCACUUGCACCAAAGUCAAACUUCAAUUUCACCUUCAAUAAGUCACAAAAUGUGUUGACUUCUUCUCCACAUGUGCACCAUUGUCCAAGAAAUUAAGCAUGUGCUUUCCAAACACUCCUUCCAUGCAGUAAAAUUCCAACUCCCAAAAACAAGGCACAAAUUAACGUGAACUACAAGGUGGUUGUUGCAAAAGUGCUUCAAACCAAAGGCUAAAUGAAAGAUACUUUGAAUGCUUCACCCAAGGUGCCAUGUAAGCAAAGUAAAAGCAAAGAAAACAAACUCAAACAUCCUCCAUUCUCAUGGCAAUUCACGGCUGGAACAAGUAAGGAAAAGACAAAAACUCAAAGUAGAAACACUCUCUUGGUCAAAAGAAGCAUCAUAUGUGUUUGUCCAAAAAUGGCAAAAACUUAAAUGCCCCUUCUCUCCUCCUUUCACCUCCAUUUUCGGUUUUCUUUCUCCACCAACAUACCAUUCAUGUUUUCUCCCUCCAUACUACAGAAACAUAAACCCAAGAGACCAAAGUUCAAAUUCCAAAUCAACACAAGAAAAAUAAACUCAAACAUAUGCUACUUCAACCUAACCAAAUCUUCCAUUUCUUCAAGCUUCUUUGCAAAACCGAAAAUAAUACUUAAGCCAUCAAUUUCAGCUCUGUCUAGCCACCAUAACAACACCAAGAUCUGAUCCCAUCCUAGUUUCAAGCAUCAAAACCGAAAAACAAGAAGAAAGAGUCCAAACCACAACACCCACACAUCAACUUAAGCUCUCUUCAACCCAAAACUAACAUAGAACUCCAUUUUUAUCAUCCAACCAAGUAAAGUGAAAUGAAAACCGAGAGGAACAGCAGCAAAGGGAGAGGAAAACGAAAUAUAAAGUUACUCAAACCCAACAUCCACCAUGGAAAUGCAAAGACAAGCUCCAAAGCUCAAGCUUCAAGCAUCAAGAACAAGCAAAUGGAAGAAGAAAUGAAUGGUUUUUCACUACCAAUAAGCUAAGACAACCAAGAGUAAGUUAAGAGAAGAAGAAAAUCUGCAUCUCAUUCAUUAAAAUGGCCCCAAAACCGAAGCACCAUAGCAAGCUCCCUAAAGGCAUGUUCAUACAUGAAACCCUAGGAGAGAAAAGUUCAAAACAUGAAGUAUGAAGUGUGUAAAAUGAGCAUAGCCAAAAUGUCUCAGCAAAUCCCUCUUCUAAGACUGUCCAAGCUCUAAAAUGGUGGGGUCCACCUUCUAAAGAAACCCUAGCCAAAAGCCACAUGUCCUACACAUGGUUUUUUUACAAAAUUGCCCCUAAAAG
rnacentral:lncRNA from 1 species